GUGAACGCUGGCGGUAGGCCUAACACAUGCAAGUCGAACGGCAGCACAGUAAGAGCUUGCUCUUACGGGUGGCGAGUGACGGACGGGUGAGGAAUACAUCGGAAUCUACUUUUUCGUGGGGGAUAACGUAGGGAAACUUACGCUAAUACCGCAUACGACCUACGGGUGAAAGCAGGGGAUCUUCGGACCUUGCGCGAUUGAAUGAGCCGAUGUCGGAUUAGCUAGUUGGCGGGGUAAAGGCCCACCAAGGCGACGAUCCGUAGCUGGUCUGAGAGGAUGAUCAGCCACACUGGAACUGAGACACGGUCCAGACUCCUACGGGAGGCAGCAGUGGGGAAUAUUGGACAAUGGGCGCAAGCCUGAUCCAGCCAUACCGCGUGGGUGAAGAAGGCCUUCGGGUUGUAAAGCCCUUUUGUUGGGAAAGAAAAGCAGCAGGUUAAUACCCCGCUGUUCUGACGGUACCCAAAGAAUAAGCACCGGCUAACUUCGUG
rnacentral:rRNA from 1 species